rnacentral:lncRNA from 1 species
CCAAAAAUUACCACAAAAUUUGCAUCUCAACACACACUUAUCUUAGAAAAUGAACAUGGGUCAAUAAUCAGGGCAUGAGCUAUUUUGAUUGUUUUAAGAACAUCUGGUGAAUGGUCAUUUAUUCAGGAAAAAAAUCUAGUUAACAUCAGAAAGAAACUCAAAAGUCUACACAGCUGAGUCAUGGCUUGCUCACUUCUCAAGAUCUGCUCAUUACAUGUAGACUCUCAGGAAUUUCCUCAUCCCCAAUACCUAAUCUGUGACUGCCAGUGACCCAGGAAGUGUUUCUCAUCUCAGUCACACAGCCCUGUGUUGCAGAGGCUUUGUUCAAGGUAUCAGUAAUAGGAGCCCAAAUUCUCCAUCUUGGGGGACCCACUCAGGAUCAAAGGCUGUGCCCCAUGCACAGCAGAUAGAGAAUGUGAAAGGCACAUAUGAGGGACACAAUGAGAAGCCCAAGGCUUCCUGCCUCUCCUUCCUCUAAGCCCACUAGAGAAGAUCUCAGCACCAGGUCUGGGUUCAGCGAACUUUGCAGAAGAAGAGGAAGAAAGAUUCUAAGAGCCAACAGGGAUGGAAAACACCAAGGACAAUGCUUCCCAGAUACAACAGGACUGACCACAUAUGAACUCAAAGACAGUGGCAGCUGCAGAGAGCCUGCACAGGUCCAAACCAGAAGGGGCACCAGGAGGAAGUGGACAUGAGCUCCCACCCCUAAGCAAGAAGAUAACUCCAAUUAUCAAACGGUUGCAAAGGAAAAAAAUGUUUUCCAAUGAAGUCUCGCUGGUGGAAAAUGCUGAGAGAUCAGAGAGAAGAAGGAACAAGCAAAAGCCACGUUUACCUCAAUAGCUUCCCAGCUGAAAAGAGGAGUCCUCAUCCAGUGGCUGAUGGAAGCAGAGACAGACAUCCACAGAAAUACACUGAGCUGAAAUCUGGAACCUAGUUGAAGAGAGGGAGGAAUAAAGAACGAAGGGGUCUGUACCAGGUUGGAGAAACCCACAGAAACAGUUGGCCUGAAAAAGGUUGAAGGCCCAGGACUAAAGAAGUCAUGCAGACAAGUUGAAGAUUGGCACCAUGAGGAGAGUUUAUGAGAUGCUAUUAAUGAAGUGUAGCCCAGUUACAGCAGAAGACCAUCACAUUUUGGAGAUGACAGUACCACAGGAUGACCACCAAGAACAGCAGCAGCCGUGGAUUAGAGCCAUCAAGAGCCUAGAAACUGUUCAUCCUGCAGAGAGUGGAGCCAUAGAAGUGACCCAAGCCCUUUGGAAGAGUCCAGAAGAUGGUCUCCUAACUCCAGGAUCCUGCCUCUUGAGUUCCUGUCCUGUCCUCCUCCAGUGAUGAACAGCAAUGUGAAAAGUUGUGGAUUACAGCCGCAUGUAUGGACCUUCACAUCUGAAAA